GAGUCAUACCACUCUGAAUGAGCCUAGUCUUGUCUGAUCUCAGAGGCUUAGCAGGGUCAGCCGUGGGUAGUACUGGAACAGGGGACUAUGUAGUAAAUACUGGGUGCUAUAGGCU
rnacentral:rRNA from 1 species